CGGAACAUUGUUGGAACGGG
rnacentral:miRNA from 1 species